CCCGAGGAAACUCGCUAAUACCGCAUAAGCUUUAUGAAGGAAAGGCUGGGACCUUCGGGCCAGUCGCCUUAAGCUGAGCCUGCGUCGGAUUAGCUUGUUGGUGGGGUAAAGGCCUACCAAGGCAACGAUCCGUAGCUGGUCUGAGAGGAUGAUCAGCCACACUGGGACCGAGACACGGCCCAGACUCCUACGGGAGGCAGCAGUGGGGAAUAUUGGACAAUGGGGGCAACCCUGAUCCAGCAAUGCCGCGUGUGUGAAGAAGGCCUGCGGGUUGUAAAGCACUUUCAGUCGCGAGGAAGGGUGUUGGAUUAAUACUCCAGCAUCUUGACGUUAACGACAGAAGAAGCACCGGCUAACUCCGUGCCAGCAGCCGCGGUAAUACGGAGGGUGCAAGCGUUAAUCGGAAUCACUGGGCGUAAAGCGCACGUAGGCGGUUAUUUAAGCCAGAUGUGAAAGCCCGGGGCUCAACCCCGAAUAGCAUUUGGAACUGGGUAACUAGAGUUUGGUAGAGGGGGGUAGAAUUCCAGGUGUAGCGGUGAAAUGCGUAGAGAUCUGGAGGAAUACCGAUGGCGAAGGAGCCCCCUGGACCGAGACUGACGCUGAGGAGCGAAAGUGGGGAGCGAACAGGAUUAGAUACCCUGGUAGUCCACGCUGUAAACGAUGUCAACUAGCUGUCUGGUUCAUUUAAGGACUGGGUAGCGCAGUAACGCGAUAAGUUGACCGCCUGGGGAGUACGGCCGCAAGUUAAAACUCAAAUGAAUUGACGGGGGCCCGCACAAGCGUGGAGCAUGUGGUUUAAUUCGAUGCAACCGAAGAACCUUACCAUCCCUUGACAUCCUGCGAAGAAGCUAGAGAUAGCAUUGU
rnacentral:rRNA from 1 species